rnacentral:tRNA from 3 species
GGAGACAUAGCUCAGCUGGGAGAGCAUCUGCUUGACGUGUAGAGGGUCGCAGGUUCGAGUCCUGUUGUCUCCACUA